rnacentral:lncRNA from 1 species
GGGUGUCUGGAACUCUUUCCAGAUGGUUCUGUGCACUCGGCAGCUAGAAAGUGGUGAAGAGUCCAUAGCAGCCUGCUCCUGCUCCCUCUCAAUGAGUAGCAGUUAGUGUAGUGUAUAAGUCCCUCUGUCUCUAUUCUAGAUGAAUAACUGUGCUACAUGUCACUUGCUUGAUUUUGCAGUGCUAAGGAUGGAUGUUAGGCGAGCACUCUACCAUCGGGCUGCGUCUCCGGCCACUGGUUUGGGUUUCUGGUUCUGUAAAGGGUUUCAGAAUGUACAUAGCCUAGGCUGGCUUCAGAUUCAUGAGACGCCUCCCUCUGCUUCCUGAGUGCUGGGAUUGAGGUUCCUAUUUUUCCUAUCCUUCCCUGGCUUUCCCAUUGGGUUAAACCCUGCCCUGCUGCUGUAGGGAUCCGCUUGCUAACCCACCACCUUUUGUUAAGGUUCCUGCCCGUGCCUAGUCACCCUGCUCCCUCAUUCUGCUUCCAACAGCACCUCCUGAGUCAAAGGCCCACGUCAAAGCUUCCAUGACGGAUCUGCUUUUGAAGAAACCCGAGUCAAGCAAAUUCUCUGCUCCGACAGUGGUUUGUCCUAUCCUGGUCCUGGAACCGGUGGUUCCUUCUACACUUCUGUGCUUGCAAAGCUACCAACCAGGACUUGGAAGCAUAGACUAGUUUGGGGCUUACAAGACUUUUUCUAAAUCCUUCCAGAAAUCUACUCGCCGCAGUCAACAUUACACUACCAUAUUGGAAAUGUGAACAGGCUCAGAACACCCACAGGCCCAGCCUCCCACUCUGAGACCUGCGGGGAAGGGGAAACUUCAGCAUAGACUGGGAUUAGAAGCCCCCGCAUUCAUCUUGUGAUCAAAGAAGAUCACCAGUCUCAAGCCCUGCGGGCAGCAGCGCAUCCUCCUCCUGAUCCAGCCUGCCGACAGUUUGCCCAACAUCACUUCCACGGGAUUCUUGUCAAAUGUAUCCCCUUCAUCUAACCAUGGGAAACAUCAAACCAGCUCAGACUGGAGAACUGUCUCCACAAAGGGGACCUCAACAGGAUGAAAGGCAAGGAAAGACGUCUCAUUAAGGGAAGAAGCCUAAAGAGCCCAGACAGUAAGAUGGAAAGCAGGAUUUUUGACAGGAAGACACAAAUGUGGCAUGGGUUCAGUAGGCAUUGACACUUUGACUCUGGGACUGAAUAAACCUACCACUGGCCAUGAGCAGGAUGCUUAUGUGGGCAGAGCAGAUGGUGGGGGGGUGGGGGGGGAACACAGUAAAAAGCCACAUAAAACCCACAGUGUGAUCUGUGGCGUGGUACCCUUGUAAAAUGUAUUGUCUGGAUCACUGUCUAUGGUUAUGUAAGAUGCUAACACGAGGGAGAAGCUUUGAGAAAGGUAUGUGGGA